rnacentral:rRNA from 1 species
AUUGAACGCUGGCGGCAGGCUUAACACAUGCAAGUCGAGCGAGCGGCGGACGGGUGAGUAAUGUCGGGGACAGUGCCUGGUGGGGGGAGAUAACUAGGGAAAACGGUAGAUAAUCACGCAUACCAUCAGAUGUGCCCAGAGGGGAUUAGCUAGUAGGGGGGGUAACGGCUCACCUAGGCGACGAUCCAUCGCUGGUCUGAGAGGAUGACCAGCCACACUGGAACUGAGACACGGUCCAUACUCCUACGGGAGGCAGCAGUGGGGAAUAUUGCACAAUGGGCGCAAGCCUGAUGCAGCCAUGCCGCGUGUGUGAAGAAGGCCUUCGGGUUGUAAAGCACUUUCAGCGAGGAGGCGUUACUCGCAGAAGAAGCACCGGCUAACUCCGUGCCAGCAGCCGCGGUAAUAC